UUGUUAAAAGUUAAAAAAUGAAAACUGUUCCUGUAUUCAAAGAUGCAGAGUAAAGUAAGUUGGUUCAAAUCUUUUCUGCACAUGGGUAAAAUUAUUUUAUAUCUAUGAAAAUACUUUUAGGGCAACAGACCCAUAUGUAAUAAAUAGUCUGUGUGUUUGAAAUGGUUAUCAAUAACUUUUCACUAACAAUUUAGCCUGAAAAACACUUUUAUUUUCCUUUGGCAAUUGUUUCUUAUUCAGUAGUCAUGGCAUAGGAAAUUCUUUUUCUGGAAAUCUAAAAUGUCUUCCAGAAGUACCAGUAGCAGAUGCUAACUUAUGGGAAUCUAAAAACAUUUUUUCUCUAAUGACAAACUCUCAUGUUGACUUCACAAGUUACGGAGUCAGAGGAAAGGGGCCUGUGGUGCUUUGAAUGUGAUGUCCUCCACCGUCUUCUGCAUUUAAGAAGUGGUUCUUAGUCGAUGGCUCUGUUUGACAGUUAAUGAGAUGUGCCUUACUGCAGGAAGUAUGUCACUGAGGGUGAAGUUUGAGAGUUCAAACCCUGCUGUCAAUUUAAGUGUGCUGUCUGCUUCCUGUUUAAGAUGUGUGAUCUUAGCUCCUUCAGUCACCAUGCCUGCUUGCUGCCAUGCUUCCUACUGUGACUGUGAUGGACUCUUAUCCCUGUGAACCACAAGCCCCAGAUAAAAUCUUCUUUCUGUAAGUCGAUUUAGUCAUGAUGCUUUACCACAAUAAUAGGAAGACAAAAGCUGGUGUUAGAGAGUGUUGUUGUGAAACCUGACCAUUCUGUUUUGUGGAGGAGUGUAGAAGACGACUUUGGAAGUUUGAACUAGAAAAGUGGCUUAAUAGGCCAUCCUUGUAGGAGUCUGGAAGACAGUAGUGUUGAGAGUUACAUGGACUGUGGAGGCCCAGCUCAAGAGGUUCUGGAGGGGAACAAUGUUAGCAACUGGGCUAGAGACCAAUUCUUGUGAUAUCUCGGCAAAGAAUGUGGUUGCUUUCUGCUUCUGUCCUAAGAACUUGCCUGAGAUUAAAUUUAAAAGUAAUGAACCAAUUCCUUGGGUGUAGGACAUUUUAAGACAGCCUAAUAUUGACUCUGCUCCAUGGUUAUUAGUAAUCACUCUUGUGCAGGUCUACAGUGAAAAAGAACAAAUAAGGCAGAAAGAAAUAGAAAAUAUACAUUUGAAGAGAAAAAGAGCACCAGGAAACUUAAUGUUGCAGCUAAGGCUUGUGCCUAAAGAGGUAUUUAAACCACGUCCGAGCUGCCUCUCCACAGGACCUUGCUGGUGGCUAUACUUCUUCUCUUGCUUGUCACAGAGCACUACAGGAUGCAUUCAGUGGGCUUUUCUGGCAGCCCAGAUAAACCUGUGUUUUCUCAUUUAUAAGAUUUGGAUCCUGGAGCCAAACCAAGGGGUUUGAAAGUAAAGAGAUUUGUGAAAUGCCAGCACACACAGCUGCAAGACUGCGCCACUUCUAGCUGCUGUGUUCAGGUGUUUAUUACAGUCUGAACCAAGCUGAGAAAUGUGUUGCAUGUAGAUUCCUGGAAGAGCUUUAUUUUCUACUUCUGUUCUUCAGACAGGGAUUGAAGCAUUGCACCUCAUCUGACAGGAAAAGAAUAAAUGAUUUCCCUAUGUAUGGAGUUGACAGACUUAUAAAAAAAUUUUUUUAAAUAAAGCUUGACUUUAUGGUA